rnacentral:rRNA from 1 species
GAUGAACGCUAGCUACAGGCUUAACACAUGCAAGUCGAGGGGAAACGACAUCGAAAGCUUGCUUUUGAUGGGCGUCGACCGGCGCACGGGUGAGUAACGCGUAUCCAACCUGCCCAUCACUUGGGAAUAACCUUGCGAAAGUAAGACUAAUACCCAAUGACAUCCCACGAGGACAUCUGAAUGGGAUUAAAGAUUUAUCGGUGAUGGAUGGGGAUGCGUCUGAUUAGCUUGUUGGCGGGGUAACGGCCCACCAAGGCAACGAUCAGUAGGGGUUCUGAGAGGAAGGUCCCCCACAUUGGAACUGAGACACGGUCCAAACUCCUACGGGAGGCAGCAGUGAGGAAUAUUGGUCAAUGGGCGAGAGCCUGAACCAGCCAAGUAGCGUGCAGGAUGACGGCCCUAUGGGUUGUAAACUGCUUUUAUAAGGGAAUAAAGUGGGUCUCGUGAGACUUUUUGCAUGUACCUUAUGAAUAAGGACCGGCUAAUUCCGUG